AUAAAUAUUAAUAAAAACAGUUGUGAAUUUAUUUUUAAAUAGAAGUACUAGUACGCGUUUUACAAUAAUUAUUUUAGUUGAUUUUGUAAUUUCUACUUGAAAAUUUGCUUAAAUGUAUGCAACUAACAUUGCAGAACAAAAAGGAAGUGACAUUUUUUAUGCUAAUGAAAAUUUAAUCUCUUACGUUGUGUUAAUAUAUAAAGAAACCGGUCCCAAAAUCGUUUAGUCGAAUAUAGAUUGUUCAUAUUACUAUAAUAUUAUUAUGUGGUAAAGAUAUAAAUAUAUUCUGACGUCACACAAAACGUUAUUGAUGUCAACAUUAAAAAACGCCUGAUGGCGUCGCAUUUCUCUUUUGUUCUGUAAACAAACGAUGGAAAAAAAUUUUCCCUGUUCUAUCCUUUCAAGUGUCGAACCUUGAGGUACACACACGAUAUAUUUUUUAGUUUGAUUUUUUUCAUAAGUGAAUAAUCAAACUAAAAUAGCGCUUUACUACAAGGCAUCCUGGUUUUAGGCCUUCUCCUACUUUUGCUGUUACCCUUUUUUUAACUGAAGCUAAAGAAAGCGGUGGAAUGGUUACUGGUCUCUACUAAUUAAAGAAGAAUCAACAGCCAUGGACAAAACGGUCAAAAGCAGGGGAUGGCCUUUAACAGGUGCUAAGUGUAACAUCAAACCAUUACUAUUUGAUCUCGAGGAAGCACUUUCUGUAGAGAACACCUACAGGCCCAGUGUAUUAGCAAUUCAAUAUAACGUUAAACCAGGAGAAGUUACUCUCAAGUCCAGGGAUGGUAUUGUACAUCUUCUUCGUUUCCUGAAGUCUUGGUUUGAUACCCCAGAACAAGUCUUUUUUGUAGCCGUCGGCUAUCUGGAUGCAUUUAUAGCACGUAUAAAGGUACCAGAAAAGUACUUGAUGUGUCUUGCAUUUGCUUGUUUCUUCAUAGCUGCCCGUGAAGAGCAACUUGACAUUCCUUUAAGCACUCUGAUCUACAUGGCUAGGUGCAAUUUUACUUUCCAAGACGUACUAAGAAUGGUGGACGUUGUUACAAACAAGCUCCAAUUAGGGUCCAAAAUCACUACUAUUGGAGAUAUUCUUCGGCUGUAUAUCCAGUUUUUAGGAAGCUGUCACUCAACCGUAAGUGAAAUUCUGGAUGAAGAAGAGUUGUUGACCAAGCUGGGGGUUCUGCUGACUGACAGCAGCUGUGCAUUUUUCAGACCAUCAGUGUUAGCCUUCACACUUUUGAGAUUUGAAGUUGACAAGCAACUAUCUCAUACUAUUAACAAAACAGCAAGUUUUGGUGACGUCAUCCAUACAUUAGCUGUGAUGAAGGAGUUACAACUGAGAUGUGAGCUCUAAACAGAUUAGCGGUGGUCUAUUGAUACCACUCCCGGAGAUUUCGGAGCCAGGAUGUUCUUUUUCGGCCUGGGCCACUUCUUCCGGUGAUCUUGUGCUGUAUUAUGAGAUGUAGGUGAUACGUUAUACCUCUCUGGAUGUCUCAUUACAUGGCCGAAAUAAUACAUCAGCUGCUGACUUGGUUAGUUGUUCCCAAUUCGCAUCCAAAGUGUUAAAACGCUACAACAACCAUGAACCCUGCGGAAACAAUGCGUACCUGAAAUGGAACUUUUUUCCAUCAUUCCGUAGACGUGACCGCUCCUCCCGAUCGACCCUGAGUGUAAUCAAUGAGAAACCUAAUGGGCAAAUCAAAAA
rnacentral:misc_RNA from 1 species